UUCUAACCUCAGCUUCAUCAGCGUGUAACACCUGAGGAACACAGGUGAAGCCUUCCUACUAAUUAGCGUCUCAAGCUGGGUAAUGAGGAGAGCAGACAACUUUCCUCUCUUUCAGGAAAGUUGUAAGCCUAGCUGUAUUUGAAGAGUUGCAAAGUUUUUCCAGUCUACCUCUAAUGAGGGCUUGAGUCUUUUUUUUUCCUUCUGGGAGAGAGCCUUAUCUCAGGAAAUGUGUUUUGAAAUUCUGUGUGGUGAACUCUGGGUUUUAAUCUUGCCUCUAAAGCCUGUUGGAGAGUGAUGGCAUUUACAAACCUUGAACUCGAGCUGAAGUGCAGCAGCAUUGCACAGGCUGAAGUUGACACAGAAAAGAGACCAUCUAUUCUGUGCAGCUGUAAAUAGGACACAUGAACAAACGUGGAAGCCUAAGGACCUGCUAGCCUUCGUUUAGAGAACUGGAAAGAAACUCAUUCAGAAGCCUGCUCUCCUACCCACUGAUGGGCCUAUAGGGAACAUUGAAAGCUGCUUAGCUGGCACCAGAAAUGAAAAGAUAAGCUCAAGAGUAGCUGAAGAGGAUUGCAGGACCGUGCUUCGAGACUCUGACACAGAACAACCUAAAUUGUUUGGUGACUUCCCGCAAUGGUCCAGAAAAUCUCACAUUGUCAGUGUCCUCAGAAGCUCCAAACCAUCCUGGCCCGGCAUUGCCCAUCAGGCUUGCUGCUCUGGUGUUUGCCUACCAGUGCCUCCACGCCGGCACCGGUCCUAUAAUCAGCGUCGAGGCGCUCCUCUUCCCCAUCUCUUGGGGUAAUUUCACUUCUCCCUUAUGACGAUGCAGGCGUGAGGUUCUCUCACUGUGGGACACUGCUGGAUGACGUCAUUAUUGCUGGUCAGUAUCUUUGGUUCUCAGUAAUUUUUCUUUUCUCCCCCCUUUUAGUAACAGGGCAAUUGGCUCUCUGUUACAACAAGAAUACCGAAUUACCUGUGGGUGCACACUUCUCACAGGACAAUCACUCCCUCUCCGAUCUCUCAGUUUUAAUCCUCAAAGGGAACUUACAAAACACCUUUCAUAGAUGAGCCUAUGAACUUCACUUCAUAAUCUACUGGAUACAAAAAAUCAUAGACUCAAUAUAGAUUUGGAUUUGGAUUUAUGACACAUUACAACCUGCCUGACAUCUGAUUCACCAGGCAGCUGCCAGACCUGACCUUUUACACUUUUCUUUUCCCCACUUCCUCCCCUCCCAUUCUCUUCUACCCUUUGUCUUCCUGAUUUCCAGCUAUUUACUUUUUCACAGACAGCCUCUUUUCUACCUUGAAAAACUGCUACAGUAGGAUCUCCCUUACUUACCUUUGGCUUUCCCCCCACCUUGUUUCCCCCUACCCUUCCCUUCUCUACCUUUUGCUUUCCUAAUUUCCACCUAUUUACAUUCUCACUGGCAUCCUGUCCUACUUUUAGCUUCUUUCAUUCUGGAGUCUCAGAACAGCAGAGAUGCCCUAUGCCUGAAGAAGGGUGAUUGCACCCAAAAGCUUGCAAAGAACUUUUUCCCAACUACUCAGCUGGUCUAAUAAAAGAUAUCACAUCUAACCAAAGAACCUUGCCUGCCUAUGUCCAUAGAACAAUAUGGCUACAACCAAAACCCUGGAACAUCCCAGGACUCCUGACAAGAGCACACAGUUCCAGUCAUGAGUGGGGAGCUAGUUAGCACAUGGAUCCAUUGUAGGGGGGUAUUGUAGUACACACACAUUCUGAGCAGGGCUGAGCUCGGCAUGAAAUGCCGUUGACACUGGUGGGGCCCAGCCCAGUAUCUUUCUCUUCAGUAAUCUCUCACAGCUGAGGAUGAUUAUCUUCCAUGACUGUCUUAUGUGUGUCUGAAAAUGGCUGAUGAGGCCUAUCCAGGCUUGACAGACUCUACUGCAGCUCGGACAUUAGUUUCCAUUUGGGAUCGGUGACAUUGGAUUGUUGAGCUGUUUUCCUGGAAGAUGCCUAUGCAUGACUUCUUUUAUCUUGGAAAAGCUGCUGCACAUCAGCUUCCACACAGCUCUAGACAGAACAGGACCUUGAUCCAAUGGCACAGAGACAAAGACAACUGGGUUGCUCUAUCAUUGAGGACUUGUAGAUCCAUGGCUGGGGGGCCAGGCAGGCUUAUUAUUAUAUUAGUGGCAACCAGUACUCACCAUGUCACAGCACCAUCAAAGGAUCUAUGUGGCCUUUCAUCUCUUGUCCUCACCACAUCCUGAUGGUACUGCUGCUGCUUGGUCCUCGGCUGCUUAUUUGUCAGAGUUAUGCCUGCUUAUUUCACAGCUACCCUUCUCUGAAGGUCAUUCCACUAUCCACCACCUCUGGACAUGCUGGGUAGCAGUACAGCGAUGCCCCACAGCCAGCCCAAUCAACUGUGUGGUAAAUAAUGAGCCUUUUGGCUUUAGACUAAAAACACUAUAUAUAAGUGGUGGCCAAAGUGCUACUUAAAAGUGCAUUUAUGAAGUACCUGUGCUAAAAAAAGCAGUUUCAAAAAAAGGUAAAAUGCAUCAAUUCUGGAUGAAAUAAACGAAUGGGCACAUUAUUACAGCUAUGUUUGUUUCAAAGUCAGUUUUUUCAAAUUUGCUCGUCACUUCCAGAUGCUCAGGGAGAGCAGAGUCUGAUAGUAAGGACAAGGGGAAGGGUCUGGUGGGGGAAGAAAUGAGGGGCAUAUGGCAAAGGGGCUACCUGACCCCCCCCGCAAUUUGUUUUUCCUGCUGUAGCAGUGGGAGGGGAUCAGAUUCAUGGCAGAACUCCUGUAAUUAUCUUCUAUACCUGGAAAAUCAUUUCAAAUUCAUAGAUUUUCCAUAUAUAGGAUCCAAUUAUUAGGCAGUCAUCUUAUAUUCAAGUAAUUAUGGAAAAUUAAAAAAUAUAUAUUUUCUCAAAAGGCUCUAAUAAUUAUUCACUUUACCUGGGUUCCAGUCUUGAACUUCCUUUUUCCUUGUUUCUUGUUUAGCUUUAUAAUCAAUAUCUGCUUAUUGAAGUAUGACAGGUCUUUAGUUUCUAUACUAUCUAUAUGUGAUUGAUAGGAAACUCAUGGACAAUAAAUCACAACUAUUAAGAACUUUGGUCUGAGAAUGUUUUUUUUGUGAUGAGGAAGCCCUUCAGAGUGGCAAGGGAUUAUGCAAUAAUUAGAAUAAAUGCAUAUUCUAAAAUGUAUAGGACUAAAGAAAUUCCUAAAUGAAACAAAAGAUUAUCUAUUUCUAAGGGCUCUAAUAUCAAUGGUUAUGACCCUUAUUGAGUUCUGAUUUCUCCCACCUCCACUUAACACAGUGCUGAUCUCCUAGAGUGCCAGCUGUAGUUUUGGCGCUUCAGAUAAGUACCUGGUAUAGUUCAACCUUAAGACCUUUACCAGAAAACACAUCAGGGUUUACCAUCAAAUUCCAUAGAGGAUUAGAGCAAAUACUCUAAUUAGAGCAAAUUAGAGCAAAUAUUAAGGCAGUAGGCCUUCAGUUAUUCAGAGCUU